rnacentral:rRNA from 1 species
AAUAGAUACCCGGGUAGUCCACGCCGUAAACGAUGAGUGCUAAGUGUUAGAGGGUUUCCGCCCUUUAGUGCUGCAGCUAACGCAUUAAGCACUCCGCCUGGGGAGUACGGUCGCAAGACUGAAACUCAAAGGAAUUGACGGGGGCCCGCACAAGCGGUGGAGCAUGUGGUUUAAUUCGAAGCAACGCGAAGAACCUUACCAGGUCUUGACAUCCUCUGACAACUCUAGAGAUAGAGCGUUCCCCUUCGGGGGACAGAGUGACAGGUGGUGCAUGGUUGUCGUCAGCUCGUGUCGUGAGAUGCUGGGUUAAGUCCCGCAACGAGCGCAACCCUUGAUCUUAGUUGCCAGCAUUUAGUUGGGCACUCUAAGGUGACUGCCGGUGACAAACCGGAGGAAGGUGGGGAUGACGUCAAAUCAUCAUGCCCCUUAUGACCUGGGCUACACACGUGCUACAAUGGAUGGUACAAAGGGCUGCAAGACCGCGAGGUCAAGCCAAUCCCAUAAAACCAUUCUCAGUUCGGAUUGUAGG